rfam:Pseudomassariella vexata strain CBS 129021 BCR38scaffold_16, whole genome shotgun sequence.
GGCUCUGUGGUCUAGUGGUACGAUUCUCGCUUUGGGUGUGAGAGGCCCCGGGUUCGAACCCCGGCAGAGCCC